AAUAGUCAAAGCGUUCUGAAAUCACACAGUGACACCUUAUUGUUUUGGCUUCAUGACACCAUUGUUGUUUGCAAGUAGCCCCUUCUCCGAGGAAGGAAAAGGGUUGUGUAUUCUAAAUACAAAGGAAUUCUCAGCAUGGCUGGGACCCCUGGGAUUACCUGAAGGGAGACCAUCACAAACAUUUUUUUAGUUUUUUUUAUGGAUAAGCAUUGUAUCCAAAAGACUGUUAUUUAACAUGGUAGCUAUACAUUUAUUCAGAGGCUUCCCUCAUUCCUCUAACCAGCAUUCAUAGACUAUCUGUCAGGUGUCAUGUCCUGUGAUCAAAGCAGGGAAGUGAGAGAGGAGGAAUGAUCUUGGGCACCUGGGGCUCCUCAAAGGUGGGCACCUAUCUGCCCUCUUUGGCUCAGAUGUGUCAGGUUUGGUUGGAAGGGAUAUCUUUACCAGUCUCAGCAUUCAGGUUAGAAAUCCAGGGAGUGAACUAUAGGAUCCCAAACCCUUUCUCCCUGUACCUAAAUGGGUCCCCUCCUUGGGGUCUUCACCCUCCUUCCUCCUGCUUCCUGUGGCAUCACUCGAGUCUGCUCUUACUGCCUGUUUCAGUCUCUGACUCUCCACAGCUGUGCAGCUGCAUCUCCAUCAGAGACAUCAUACCUGCUGAUUCUUUGCUUUAUUUGAGGGCAUCUUAUAUUCUCUGACUUCUCUUCUAAUCCUUGGAGUAUUGUCUUUUUUCUCUUUUCUCUUUGGUUAGGGAUCAGGAAGGCAGCGCACCAUGGCAGUCAGGAUGGGCCGCACAUCUACAUCAUGCAGCUUGUCUCUGGGCCUGCCCGUUGUGCAGCCAGGCUGACCGCUUUCUCCUCACUCCCCAGACCCUUUCCCGCCAUUGUUCUUCUAAACCAAGACCCUGUUUGCCCAGUGACUCUGUUCUCAAUCCCUGCAGAUGAUCUUAUUUCCUACUCAGCUGAGAGAGAUUGGACUGUCAAAUGGAGUUGGUUCAGAGCUUGUUCACGUUUAAACCUCAGUCUUUGCAUCUGUUCUUUUUCUCCUGUCCUCAAGGUCUCCAGAGCCCUUUCCCCCUCACCACACUACUUGGAAAGUUGAUCCAGUGUCUGAGGGUUUACUUACCCCAUCUCCUCUCCCCACCAGUUCAGGCUUCCUUUCCCCACCUGUCUACACAUAGAUCCUUCUGGGUUAAAACUUUGCUCAGUUCUGUUCCCCCUUUAACACUAUUUUCUGGCUUUGUCAACUGUCAGCUGACUUUGCCUUUUUGUUUAUUGAGAAGACCUUGCUGAGCUCUGGGUGAUGGGGAUGUACUGAUGAAUAAUGUACUGAUGAAUAAUGUGAGGGCUCUGCUUCAUGGAGCUUACAUUUUCGUGCAGGAAUUAGUUAGCACAGGUGAUCAAUACCUGUAUGGUAGACUCUGAGGGACUGAGAGUAGUAAAGCCAGGUAAAGUAGUGUCAGAGCAUGCUGCUGUUUUAGCUCGAUGGGCUGAGUUGACAGUGUCAGGCAGAGACCUGUAUGGAACAAGGACAGGAGCACAUAUGUGUGGGUAGAGUGAGUGAAAAGGCUGGCAGGGGUUAGCUCUUUGAGCUUCAGAGGCCUCGUUAGAAUUUUGGAUUUUCUUCUGAGUGUGGCAGGGAGCCCACAAAGGUCUCCAGCAGAGCAGCUGUUCACUCUGGCUGCUGCUUCAGUGAAGAUUCUUAUAAAUAAAUGAUCGAGGGGAAAUGAAGUCAAAGUGGAUCUUAGGUGUGGACCUAGAACCUGGGUGCGCAGUGGUGCUGUAAUUGAGCAGAAGGAGACUGGAGAGAGGCCAGGGGUGGAGGUCAGAUUAGCAUUUGACACAUCCAUAGGUGCUUGCUGCUGAAGGCCAAGUGAGCUGCUGGGUGGCUGCCAGCACAGCCCAGGGAGGAGUUAGGACAGUCUUAGCAGCCUGGACAGCCACUGUGAGAGGGCACUCAGUAAGGGGAGUGGUCAGAGACUUGAGCCUGGGUCAUCCCCGCUCACAGAGAUUGGCAUGUGGAAGGAACUGUUCUGGAAGGCAGAGAAGGGGACUCGUAGCCAGUGAGUUGAGAGGACAUAGACCUGAGGGCCACAGGACCAAACUGUUUCUGACAGAGGAUGCCAAAGCCUGGCCAGAUGCUGCUGAGUGGUCUAGUGCAUUAGGCCUGGGCCUGACCUAUGGCUUGUCCCCAAGUUGUUGUUGACAGUGGCAGUUUGGAAGUGGGAGGGGGAUUUGAGAGAGAGGUGAGGAAAUGCAAACAGUGCACAGGGCAGAUUCUCCCCAGUGGAUUCACUAUAAAGGGGAGCAGCGGUCUGAUAGCCAAGGGUCUGUGGGGAAGGGAGGGGGUUCCUUGUUGGUCUAUUUUAGGUGUUAGGGAACGUUUGUCUCUCCACCUGGUUCCAGCCUCACUCCUUGUCUCCUCCACUCUGCUGCCAUGCUAUGCAGCAGCCAUUAGUGGCCUACUGAGGACAGACAUUGACGGGUCUUUUUCAUGUCUGUUCUGUAUCUUACCUCUGAGGCCACCUUGACCUCUCGCUCCUUGUGCUCCCUGGGACUGCUGUGACUACAUUCCUCCUGGAGCCUGUGGGGAGUCUGACUGCCAGAUUUUCUGGAGGCCCAGGCUGUGCUUUCUGUAGAGCCCGUGACAAUAUGUCUUCUUGGUUGGGGAGCUCCAACAGAUCACAUGCACUUGGCUUUAUUUUCUCCCAGGGUCACGUGUGGUGGGAUUAGGUGGCUCAGAGUCUAGAUGAGCAAACUUGCUGUCUGACUUCAGACAGGAUCAGGUGGCGGGGACUCUAGGUCUUUGUCCAGUAGUAACUAUUGCUCUUAAAUGUUAAGGGUAAUUGCAACACCUGUGAAGGCCCUUGAACCCAGGGACUUUUGCACCAGUUGAAACCUUAGUGGCAUACAUUGUAUUGAGAGAAAGAAAAGGAAACUCUUUGCCUGAAGAAAAGCCUCAAUAUGCAUACCACUCUCCCUUUAGCCAUAAUUUACGCGUUGAAGAGAGACUAGAGCAACUGCAAGAGCAAACUCCCCUUGAGACAGGUGAGGCAAAUCCUGGGGACACCCCUGUGGCAGCCUGGAAACUGGGGCUCUGGAGAUUCUGACCAGACUCAGUCCCUGCUCCCAGGAGGUGGAGCUGACUUCCAAGACACUCCUGAGCACACACCCACCCUUCCUCCCAGGCUAUAGCAAGGAUGCCCUUCCCUCCUGUUGGGAUGUAGACUGAGGGGUUUCAGAGGCUGUUAUUUGUUUAGUCUGUAUGUUUCCUCCACCCGCAACUUGCUCAUCCUUGUGUGUCCCCUCUUGCAGCUUGAGGCAGUGUACCUAGGCCUCAGGAGGCUGGGCUUCAAUCCUGUGAAGGAUUUGUGGCCUUGAGUCAGUUUCUUUGCUUAACCUCUCUGGGCCACAUUCCUCUGCAAAGUACAGGCCUUGGGCUCACCAGGUGCUGGUAUAGGCCUGGUCUGUGCUAAUCCUCUCAGGAAUUUACCCUCUCCGUGCAUUAGCACAGACUUCUCAGUGCCCUGGGGCAUUGACUGUGCUGAGGGAGGUAGAAACAUUCUAGGAUGGGAAAUGGACCAAUGAGGUCUGAAAAAGUGCUUCUGGAGGAUGAGAAAUGUGUGUGGUUGGAGGGAACACAGGCUUGGAACUGUGAUCUUCAACAUCUGUCAUAUCUAAAACCUGUUAAUCACCUUAGCUGAGGAGAGAACUAGAAGUUUCCCUCACAUAGGAAACAGGAACUCGGAAUGGUCAGAUAAGGGACAGAACCUGUGAAGCAGGAAGAGCCUCUGGGCUGCAGGCUCCUGGGAAACAGCAUUCCUAACUGGUGAAGCUACUUGGCUAGUAGUCCAGGUGGGGCCACCUGCCCAGGCAGCAUUGAACUCCUGCUUAGGGUUGGGCGGGCCAGAGUCUGUAGCCUUCCCUGUAGAGGAGACAGAGCAGGGCAAAGAGGGAAGGAGGCCUGGCUGAGACCCUUUGCAUUCCUUAGAAGUAAGGUUUGUUUUUUACCUUACUUCAGGUUCCUGUUAAACAUCCUAGUUGGAAGGGUUUGGGUAGUCGCUUGUGGGACUGGAAGCAGGACAGGUUUGGGCAGCUCUGGUGGCCGAUCUCUUCCUCCCAGGCUUGUCCUCACUGUAGUGCAGCUUCAAGUUCCUACCAUGGUGGGAGAUGGUAGUGCCUUGGAAAUAGGAGCAAGAUGGAACACCCUGAGCACAAGCCAACCCCUUCCUGUCCUUGGUUGCAAAGGAGUGGCAAAGUACCUGUAGAUUUCCAUUAAUGGGCUCAGCUGUUUGGUGUUUCUAGAAGAAAGAAGUUAUAUGGGAUCCAUUUAUUGUUGCAAUCCUGUUUGGAAAAGAGAAUAGAAAUAAAAUAUCACACUGUAAUGGUGUCCAAAGAAAAGAUGGUUUUGUUCCUUGAGUCUCUCUUCAGUGGAUGCCCAAAAAAUAGAUUGAAUCAAGAAGUUAAUAAAAUGGCAUUUCCCUUAUAAGACUUG